rnacentral:hammerhead_ribozyme from 1 species
AUCCGGCUGACGAGUCCUGAAUAGAACGUAACGCGCGUCCUGGAU